rnacentral:tRNA from 1 species
ACUUAAGUAGUUUAAGGUAAAACGGUGAUUUGUGGUGUCAUAAAUGUAGUAUUUAUACCUUAGGUU